GUAAUUGUACAUUAAGAAAGCAUCUCAUUGGAACAAUACAGAGAAGAUUAGCAUGGCCCCUGCGCAUGGAUGACAUGCUAAUUCAUGAAGCAUUCCAUAUUUUU